CCUUCUCGGGUUCCAGCCCAGGGCAUGUGUCCUUGGGCGGUUAAUGUCCGCGUGUUCAGAGCCUGGUAUCUCAGCUGGCAUGACAGACUCAAGAUGGCAGAGGUGAGGAAACGGAAGCCCUGAGAAGUUUAAUGUCGUACGGGAUUGCUGUAGAGCUGGGACUUGCACCCGGGCCUCUGGGUGCUAACGUCAAUGAGCUUCACUGUGGCGUUGUACUGCAUGGAGAAGAUCCUGGAAAGGCUUGCAACAAUUUCCAAAGCGGGGAAAGAGUCCUCCUGUUAGAGCAGGUUGGAAACCACUGAGCUGGGCUGUGGAGGCAGCAUGUUAUACCCCCUCAGCAGAGACAGAGUCAUGAGACCUGAGACCCGCACAUCUUUAUUGGAGCGUCUAAUACAAACACCGAGAUGAGCUGGUCAAAACCAACCCCAUGGCGCACCACCGCCAAGUUUCCUCCAGCUUGAUCUGCAUUCCUUGGAUUGAAAGUACCUGUGUAAUCUCCACCCGGACCAGGAUACAGGACAUUUCCAGCACCCUGCAAGGUUCCCUCGUGCUCCCUCCUGGUCUAUUCUCCUCCCCAGAGCCCUAUGAAGAAUGUUGCAGAACAGCAUUUCCGGUAUGAUGUUCCACGGACCCAAGCCUCAAGAAGAUUCCUCAAGGGAUUUCAUAGUGAAAUAUGUUUAGGAAAUGCCAGGCUCCUCUUGAUGAUUCACAAUGUACAUUAGUAAAUUAAAGACUCUGAGAAAUUCUCCAGGAAAGAAGCCCAUUUCAGUUGGCAUAAGUCAGUACAUCCCAAACAGGUGGGGAAGGACUCUGCUCUCAAUAGCAGAAUGGCUCUGGGGUUCUGUGGGACCAGUUUGGGAAACACUGUGAUAGCCGACUCACGAAUAAAGAGCUGAGUGAAAAGCACAGGUUCUGAGAAUCUCCGCAGCAUGAUGG